rnacentral:rRNA from 1 species
AGAAUGAACGUUGGCGGCGUGGAUUAGGCAUGCAAGUCGAACGAAUCCCAUCUGGGUAACUGGGUGGGGGAAGUGGCGAAAGGGGCAGUAAUGCAUGGGUAACUUGCCCUGGAGUUCGGGAUAGCCUUCCUAACGGAUGGGUAAUACCGAAUGCCGUAUCGGGGGGGCAUCCUCUUGAUACGAAAGUUCCGACGCUCCGGGAGAGGUCCAUGUGGUAUUAGCUAGUUGGUGAGGUAACGGCUCACCAAGGCCAAGAUGCCUAGCAGGUGUGAGAGCACGACCUGCGUCACUGGCACUGGGACACUGGCCAGACUCCUACGGGAGGCUGCAGUCGAGGAUCUUCGGCAAUGGGCGAAAAGCCUGACCGAGCGACGCCGCGUGCAGGAGGAAGGUCUUCGGAUCGUAAACUGCUUUUCUGUGGGAAGAGAACGGACGGUACCACAGGAAGAAGCCCCGGCUAACUACGUGCCAGCAGCCG